CAGUAGCCGCGGUAAUACAGAGGGUGCGAGCGUUAAUCGGAAUUACUGGGCGUAAAGCGUGCGUAGGUGGUGGUUUAAGUCCGUUGUGAAAGCCCUGGGCUCAACCUGGGAAUUGCAGUGGAUACUGGGUCACUAGAGUGUGGUAGAGGAUAGUGGAAUUUCCGGUGUAGCAGUGAAAUGCGUAGAGAUCGGAAGGAACAUCUGUGGCGAAGGCGACUAUCUGGGCCAACACUGACACUGAGGCACGAAAGCGUGGGGAGCAAACAGGAUUAGAUACCCCAGUAGUCCCUGUCUCUUAUAC
rnacentral:rRNA from 1 species